GACAGAGGUGCCAAGCGUUAGGCGGAAUCACUGGGCUUAAAGCGUGUGUAGGCGGGCGAUCAAGUACCUUGUGAAAUCCCACGGCUCAACCGUGGAACUGCUGGGUAUACUGGUUGUCUUGAGCCAGCUAGGGGCGAGCGGAACAGACGGUGGAGCGGUGAAAUGCGUAGAUAUGACCCGGAACACCGAUUGCGAAGGCAGCCCGCUAAGCAACUAUUGACGCUGAGGCACGAAAGCGUGGGGAUCAAACAGG
rnacentral:rRNA from 1 species